ACUAUCGUUAACUGAAUACAUAGGUUAACGAGGCGAACCGGGGGAACUGAAACAUCUAAGUACCCCGAGGAAAAGAAAUCAACCGAGAUUCCCCCAGUAGCGGCGAGCGAACGGGGAGCAGCCCAGAGUCUGAAUCAGCUUGUGUGUUAGUGGAACGGUCUGGAAAGUCCGACGGUACAGGGUGAUAGUCCCGUACACCAAAAUGCACAGGCUGUGAACUCGAAGAGUAGGGCGGGACACGUGGUAUCCUGUCUGAAUAUGGGGGGACCAUCCUCCAAGGCUAAAUACUCCUGACUGACCGAUAGUGAACCAGUACCGUGAGGGAAAGGCGAAAAGAACCCCGGCGAGGGGAGUGAAAAAGAACCUGAAACCGUGUACGUACAAGCAGUGGGAGCACCUUCGGGUGUGACUGCGUACCUUUUGUAUAAUGGGUCAGCGACUUAUAUUCUGUAGCAAGGUUAACCGUAUAGGGGAGCCGCAGGGAAACCGAGUCUUAACUGGGCGUUAAGUUGCAGGGUAUAGACCCGAAACCCGGUGAUCUAGCCAUGGGCAGGUUGAAGGUUGGGUAACACUAACUGGAGGACCGAACCGACUAAUGUUGAAAAAUUAGCGGAUGACUUGUGGCUGGGGGUGAAAGGCCAAUCAAACCGGGAGAUAGCUGGUUCUCCCCGAAAGCUAUUUAGGUAGCGCCUCGUGAACUCAUCUUCGGGGGUAGAGCACUGUUUCGGCUAGGGGGUCAUCCCGACUUACCAACCCGAUGCAAACUACGAAUACCGAAGAAUGUUAUCACGGGAGACACACGGCGGGUGCUAACGUCCGUCGUGAAGAGGGAAACAACCCAGACCGCCAGCUAAGGUCCCAAAGUCAUGGUUAAGUGGGAAACGAUGUGGGAAGGCACAGACAGCCAGGAUGUUGGCUUAGAAGCAGCCAUCAUUUAAAGAAAGCGUAAUAGCUCACUGGUCGAGUCGGCCUGCGCGGAAGAUGUAACGGGGCUAAACCAUGCACCGAAGCUGCGGCAGCGACACUAUGUGUUGUUGGGUAGGGGAGCGUUCUGUAAGCCUGCGAAGGUGACCUGUGAGGGUUGCUGGAGGUAUCAGAAGUGCGAAUGCUGACAUAAGUAACGAUAAAGCGGGUGAAAAGCCCGCUCGCCGGAAGACCAAGGGUUCCUGUCCAACGUUAAUCGGGGCAGGGUGAGUCGACCCCUAAGGCGAGGCCGAAAGGCGUAGUCGAUGGGAAACAGGUUAAUAUUCCUGUACUUGGUGUUACUGCGAAGGGGGGACGGAGAAGGCUAUGUUAGCCGGGCGACGGUUGUCCCGGUUUAAGCAUGUAGGCUGGUUGUCCAGGCAAAUCCGGAUAAUCAAGGCUGAGGUGUGAUGACGAGGCACUACGGUGCUGAAGUAACAAAUGCCCUGCUUCCAGGAAAAGCCUCUAAGCAUCAGGUAACAUUAAAUCGUACCCCAAACCGACACAGGUGGUCAGGUAGAGAAUACCAAGGCGCUUGAGAGAACUCGGGUGAAGGAACUAGGCAAAAUGGUGCCGUAACUUCGGGAGAAGGCACGCUGGUGUGUAGGUGAAGUCCCUGCGGAUGGAGCUGAGACCAGUCGAAGAUACCAGCUGGCUGCAACUGUUUAUUAAAAACACAGCACUGUGCAAACACGAAAGUGGACGUAUACGGUGUGACGCCUGCCCGGUGCCGGAAGGUUAAUUGAUGGGGUUAUCCGUAAGGAGAAGCUCUUGAUCGAAGCCCCGGUAAACGGCGGCCGUAACUAUAACGGUCCUAAGGUAGCGAAAUUCCUUGUCGGGUAAGUUCCGACCUGCACGAAUGGCGUAAUGAUGGCCAGGCUGUCUCCACCCGAGACUCAGUGAAAUUGAACUCGCUGUGAAGAUGCAGUGUACCCGCGGCAAGACGGAAAGACCCCGUGAACCUUUACUAUAGCUUGACACUGAACAUUGAGCCUUGAUGUGUAGGAUAGGUGGGAGGCUUUGAAGCGUGGACGCCAGUCUGCGUGGAGCCAACCUUGAAAUACCACCCUUUAAUGUUUGAUGUUCUAACGUUGGCCCCUUACCGGGGUUGCGGACAGUGUCUGGUGGGUAGUUUGACUGGGGCGGUCUCCUCCCAAAGCGUAACGGAGGAGCACGAAGGUUAGCUAAUCCUGGUCGGACAUCAGGAGGUUAGUGCAAUGGCAUAAGCUAGCUUGACUGCGAGCGUGACGGCGCGAGCAGGUGCGAAAGCAGGUCAUAGUGAUCCGGUGGUUCUGAAUGGAAGGGCCAUCGCUCAACGGAUAAAAGGUACUCCGGGGAUAACAGGCUGAUACCGCCCAAGAGUUCAUAUCGACGGCGGUGUUUGGCACCUCGAUGUCGGCUCAUCACAUCCUGGGGCUGAAGUAGGUCCCAAGGGUAUGGCUGUUCGCCAUUUAAAGUGGUACGCGAGCUGGGUUUAGAACGUCGUGAGACAGUUCGGUCCCUAUCUGCCGUGGGCGCUGGAGAAUUGAGGGGGGCUGCUCCUAGUACGAGAGGACCGGAGUGGACGCAUCACUGGUGUUCGGGUUGUCAUGCCAAUGGCACUGCCCGGUAGCUAAAUGCGGAAGAGAUAAGUGCUGAAAGCAUCUAAGCACGAAACUUGCCCCGAGAUGAGUUCU
rnacentral:rRNA from 2 species